rnacentral:tRNA from 1 species
GGAGGGAUCGCAUAGAGGCCUAUUGCACAGACCUGGAAAGUCUGAGAGGAGAAAUUCUCACGCGGGUUCGAAUCCCGCUCCCUCCGCCA